UACGUAGGGUGCAAGCGUUAAUCGGAAUUACUGGGCGUAAAGCGUGCGCAGGCGGUUGUGUAAGACAGGUGUGAAAUCCCCGGGCUUAACCUGGGAAUGGCAUUUGUGACUGCACGGCUAGAGUGUGUCAGAGGGGGGUAGAAUUCCACGUGUAGCAGUGAAAUGCGUAGAGAUGUGGAGGAAUACCGAUGGCGAAGGCAGCCCCCUGGGAUAACACUGACGCUCAUGCACGAAAGCGUGGGGAGCAAACAGG
rnacentral:rRNA from 2 species